rnacentral:rRNA from 1 species
AGAGUUUGAUCCUGGCUCAGGAUGAACGCUAGCUACAGGCUUAACACAUGCAAGUCGCGGGGCAGCAUGAAGUCAGCUUGCUGACUUUGAUGGCGACCGGCGCACGGGUGAGUAACGCGUAUCCAACCUGCCUGUUACCACGGCACAGCCCGUCGAAAGGCGGAUUAAUGCCGUAUGUGGUCCUUUGCGGGCAUCUAAUUAGGACUAAAGGUUCAGCGGUAACAGAUGGGGAUGCGUCCGAUUAGCUAGACGGCGGGGUAACGGCCCACCGUGGCGACGAUCGGUAGGGGUUCUGAGAGGAAGGUCCCCCACACUGGAACUGAGACACGGUCCAGACUCCUACGGGAGGCAGCAGUGAGGAAUAUUGGUCAAUGGGCGGAAGCCUGAACCAGCCAAGUAGCGUGAGGGAAGACUGCCCUAUGGGUUGUAAACCUCUUUUGUGCGGGGAUAAAGUGUGGGACGUGUCCCAUAUUGCAGGUACCGCACGAAUAAGGACCGGCUAAUUCCGUGCCAGCAGCCGCGGUAAUACGGAAGGUCCGGGCGUUAUCCGGAUUUAUUGGGUUUAAAGGGAGCGCAGGCCGUCCUUUAAGCGUGCUGUGAAAUGCCGCGGCUCAACCGUGGCACUGCAGCGCGAACUGGAGGACUUGAGUACGCACGAGGUAGGCGGAAUUCGUGGUGUAGCGGUGAAAUGCUUAGAUAUCACGAAGAACUCCGAUUGCGAAGGCAGCUUACCGGAGCGCAACUGACGCUGAGGCUCGAAAGCGCGGGUAUCGAACAGGAUUAGAUACCCUGGUAGUCCGCGCGGUAAACGAUGGAUGCCCGCCGUUGGGUUUUAGAAUUCAGCGGCCAAGCGAAAGCGUUAAGCAUCCCACCUGGGGAGUACGCCGGCAACGGUGAAACUCAAAGGAAUUGACGGGGGCCCGCACAAGCGGAGGAACAUGUGGUUUAAUUCGAUGAUACGCGAGGA